UAGACUUGAUUUUCAAGUUAUUUGAUCUGAUUUUGACCUUGGUUUGAACCUAAUAACAAUUAAUCAAUGAAAUUAAACAAUUAAUAUAUAUAAAAUUAAAUAUAAUUCAUAAAUUUUUCAUAAAAAUAAAUUAAUUCAAAAAUCGAUUCGAUUCGAUUUGGUUCGAUUUGAAUAUAUAAAAUUAUCAUUCGGUUCAGUUAGGUUUAACCUUUUUUUUCCUCUUCAAAGCCGAAUUGAACCGAAAUAAUAGAAAUUUUUAUAAAUUAAAAUCGAACCGAACCGAUUAAAUUUUAA
rnacentral:misc_RNA from 1 species